UACGGGGGGGGGCAAGCGUUGUUCGGAAUUACUGGGCGUAAAGGGCUCGUAGGCGGCCAACUAAGUCGGACGUGAAAUCCCUCGGCUUAACCGGGGAACUGCGUCUGAUACUGGAUGGCUUGAGUUCGGGAGAGGGAUGCGGAAUUCCAGGUGUAGCGGUGAAAUGCGUAGAUAUCGGAAGGAACAUCAGUGGCGAAAGCGGCUUCCUGGUCCAGCACCGACGUUCAGGCACGAAAGCGUGGGGAGCAAACAGG
rnacentral:rRNA from 1 species